rnacentral:rRNA from 1 species
GACGUAGGUGGCGAACGUUAUCCGGAAUUAUUGGGCGUAAAGCGCGCGCAGGCGGUCCUUUAAGUCUGAUGUGAAAGCCCACGGCUCAACCGUGGAGGGUCAUUGGAAACUGGGGGACUUGAGUGCAGAAGAGGAAAGCGGAAUUCCACGUGUAGCGGUGAAAUGCGUAGAGAUGUGGAGGAACACCAGUGGCGAAGGCGGCUUUCUGGUCUGUAACUGACGCUGAGGCGCGAAAGCGUGGGGAGCAAACAGG